rnacentral:tRNA from 1 species
GGGGAGUUAGCUCAGUUGGUUAGAGCAGGGGACUCAUAAUCCCUUGGUCAUGGGUUCAAGUCCCAUACUCCCUACAA